CGCCCAGUGGCUCCUCUCUGUCCACGCAGAGGAUAUCCGGUCCCGGUACGGAUGAGCUCAAAGCCAGGGUCACCUCUGUCUUUGGGUCCAUCCUGAAGAUGGACUCCACAAAAAAGGUGGCCAAAAAACUGGUGGGAGCUGCAGCUGGGUCACCAAUGUGGGCAAUGAGCACGGACAGGUCCUCAUGUCUGUGCUCACCUCACAUGAGUGUCGGGGACUGCUGCCCAUGACCACUGGCUUGGUAAAAAGGUACGAGGCGGCUGGAGUCGCUCCCCCAACACUCCUGUAUGUGGACAGAGACUGCUGCUCUUCUGUGGGGACCUCCAGAGCAGGUGCCAUGUUCAGCGGCUGGAGUGACAUGGUGGUCCGUCUUGAUGUGUGGCACUUCGCCGCAGCAGCUUUCUUCUUCCAGCUUCUUAUGAGCAGCAUGGUCAAUCACCAUCAAUUCUCCACACCUGUUUCACAGCAAUCAACCUGAGGACACAAAUAGUGUUACCCAGAGACACCUACUGGAAAAAAUCAAUCUUUCCCUCUGCUGUGGCACAGAAGAAGUAGCUGCCCACCCUGGUGUGCCCAAACUCUUUUUUUCUGAGCUGCCCACAUCGACUGCAUGUGUGGGCCUACAGUUUUCUAACAUGUUUCUGUGGAGGGGGCAGCCCUUGUUUCUGGGCUAAAAACUCUUCAGCCUUCCUCUUCCUCCACAAAGUUGUUCUACUCAAAGGUGAAGAGAGGGAUGCUGCCGGUGGAGUAGAGAGUGCGGGUGCUGAAGCGG